rnacentral:misc_RNA from 1 species
GCAGUCAUCAAAAUACAACUUUUCACUUGAUGUUUGAGUUCCUAAGCAUAAUGACCAAACUAUCAAACAUUCUCUGCGGCAUCUUUUUUUGACUCCUCUUCACUCCUUGCAGCAGCCAACCUCUCAGCUGCCAAUCUUUCUUCCAGCGCUCUAGCUCCCCUUUCUCUCCUCCUAGAUGCCUCAAUGGGGUCUGAACCAGGCAAUGGAGCACCUCCCAGAGUAUAACCGUGUGCUUCAGU